CGGAGCGUAGCGCAGUCUGGCAGCGCAUCUGGUUUGGGACCAGAGGUUCGAAGGUUCGAAUCCUUUCGCUCCGACCA
rnacentral:tRNA from 1 species